rnacentral:lncRNA from 1 species
GGAUCAUCCGGAUGCUGCAGCGGAGGAUCCUCAGGCUAUGGCAUGGGAGGAGGCUACAGUGGUGGGUCUUCAGGAGGCAAGAUCAUAAUAGCAGGAGGGGGGAGCAGUGGGGGAUCAUCUGGAGGCUGCAGUGGAGGAUCCUCAGGCUAUGGCAUGGGAGGAGGCUAUGGUGGUGGCAGUGGGGGAUCAGGCCAGAAGAUCAUUGGGAGCUCCGGAGGUGGAGGAGGAUGCAUUAGAGCUGGUGUGGACUCUGUGCUCCUUAACUUGGGAAGGGUUAUGGCAAUGGCAACCCCUCCAGCAACUGUGGUUCCAGUCACACUCUUCCUCUCCAUGGAGCAGUCAUCACGUGUGCGUAUGUCACAAGUUUGGCACUUCCAGUCUCUGUAUGGGGUCUUAAGUACACACAGCCUUGGGGCCUGCACACACGCAGGGUGCACAACAUUUGCAGGAGUAACUCUUGACAUGCCUGCUGAAAGACCAUGCUUUGCUCUGUGGCCUUCCCUCACACCCUGGUCCAGAUGAGCUGCAAAUMCUGGGUGUCCCCUUGUGCAAGUCACUACAGGUUAAGUUCACAGGGAGGGAUUAAGCUGUUGCGAUGUUCAGUAACAAAACACCCACAUUUCACAGGUGAGAGCCAGAAUUCCCAUGAGACCUUAUAUUUCCUUUUGGUGACUAAAGUGGAACUAGGGCCACUGGAGGGAGUCCAAAGCAAGAUAAAUGAUACCCCCUGCACCCACAUUCCUGGAGGCAAUGCUGGUGCAAAUAGUCCUGUCCCCAUAUCACUGAAGCUGUGUGCAUGCCCUAAAUUAUGUUCAUCGUGACAGGACUGGGCAGCUUGUUGCUGCCAUCACAUAUCCUCUCAGCUAGAACCCCCCAAUUAUGCCUUCCUCUGCUCUGUCUCCCGUGGGGGUGGAUGCUGUUGUCACCUUCAAAGCACGCAUGACAAUGACAGGAUGGAGCUGCUGCAAAAUGUAGAAGACAGCACUGCAGUUCCUGCGCUGGCAAACUGUUGGUCUCCAGCAAGGCCUACUUCACAGUAAAAUACCCAGAGGCCUCCCCAGCUUCAGGUGUGGGUGGGCUGGCCAGAGAAACAGGAUCCUCACAA